UACGUAGGGGGCAAGCGUUGUCCGGAUUUAUUGGGCGUAAAGAGCGUGUAGGCGGCCAUUCAGGUCAGCUGUGAAAACUCGAGGCUCAACCUCGAGACGUCGGUUGAAACCGUUUGGCUAGAGUCCGGAAGAGGAGAGUGGAAUUCCCGGUGUAGCGGUGAAAUGCGCAGAUAUCGGGAAGAACACCCGUGGCGAAGGCGGCUCUCUGGGACGGUACUGACGCUGAGACGCG
rnacentral:rRNA from 1 species